UACAGAGGGUGCGAGCGUUAAUCGGAAUUACUGGGCGUAAAGGGCGCGUAGGCGGUUAUAUAAGUUAGAUGUGAAAUCCCCGGGCUUAACCUGGGAAUGGCAUUUAAUACUGUAUGACUAGAGUAGAGUAGAGGGAAGUGGAAUUUCCGGUGUAGCGGUGAAAUGCGUAGAUAUCGGAAAGAACACCAGUGGCGAAGGCACUGUCCUGGCUCAUUCCUGACGCUCAGGGGCGAAAGCUAGGGGAGCGAACGGG
rnacentral:rRNA from 1 species